AACGAACGCUGGCGGCAUGCCUAACACAUGCAAGUCGAACGGGUUGUAGCAAUACAACUAGUGGCGGACGGGUGAGGAAUACAUAGGAAUUUGCCUUUAGGUGGGGGAUAGCCCGGGGAAACGUCGGAGUAAUACCGCAUGAUGUCGCAAGACCAAAGCCGGGGAUCGCAAGACCUGGCGCCUUUAGAGAAGCCUAUGUCUGAUUAGCUAGUUGGUAGGGUAAUGGCCUACCAAGGCGACGAUCAGUAACUGGUCUGAGAGGACGAUCAGUCACACCGGAACUGAGACACGGUCCGGACUCCUACGGGAGGCAGCAGUGGGGAAUCUUGGACAAUGGGCGCGAGCCUGAUCCAGCCAUGCCGCGUGAGUGAAGAAGG
rnacentral:rRNA from 1 species